rnacentral:rRNA from 1 species
AAGCGUUUYCUGUGUCGGACCGUGUACAAGUCCCUUGGAACAGGGCGUCACAGAGGGUGAGAAUCCCGUCUUUGACACGGACUGCCGGUGCUUUGUGAUGCGCUCUCGAAGAGUCGAGUUGUUUGGGAAUGCAGCUCAAAUCGGGUGGUAAAUUCCAUCUAAAGCUAAAUAUGGGCGAAAGACCGAUAGCGAACAAGUACCGUGAGGGAAAGAUGAAAAGCACUUUGGAAAGAGAGUUAAACAGUACGUGAAAUUGUUGAAAGGGAAACGCUUGAAGUCAGUCGCGUCUCUCGGGACUCAGCCGAGCCUUUUUGGCUCGGUGUACUUCUCGGGGCGACGGGCCAGCGUCGWUUUUGACCGUCGRARAAAGGCUUUGGGAAUGUGGCACCUUCGGGUGUGUUAUAGCCCUCGGUCGCAUGCGACGGUCGRKAUCGAGGAUCGCAGCACGCCUUUUUGGCCGGGGUUUCGCCCACGUAACGUGCUUAGGAUGCUGGCGUAAUGGYUUUAAGCGACCCGUCUUGAAACACGGACCAAGGAGUCUAACAUGCCUGCGAGUGUUUGGGUGGAAAACYCGGACGCGGAAUGAAAGUGAAAGGU